rnacentral:rRNA from 1 species
UACGUAGGACCCAAGCGUUAUCCGGAUUGACUGGGCGUAAAGAGUUGCGUAGGUGGUGAUUUAAGCGAAUAGUGAAAUCUUGUGGCUCAACCAUAAGGCUAUUAUUCGAACUGGGUCACUCGAGAAUGGGAGAGGUAUCUGGAAUUCCUAAUGUAGGGGUAAUAUCCGUAGAUAUUAGGAGGAACACCAAUGGCGUAGGCAGGAUACUGGCCCAUUUCUGACACUGAGGCACGAAAGCGUGGGGAGCGAACCGG